GGGGAAUCUUCCGCAAUGGACGAAAGUCUGACGGAGCAACGCCGCGUGAGUGAUGACGGCCUUCAGGUUGUAAAGCUCUGUUAAUCGGGACGAAUGGUUCUUGUGCAAAUAGUGCGAGGAUUUGACGGUACCGGAAUAGAAAGCCACGGCUAACUACGUGCCAGCAGCCGCGGUAAUACGUAGGUGGCAAGCGUUGUCCGGAAUUAUUGGGCGUAAAGCGCGCGCAGGCGGAUUGGUCAGUCUGUCUUAAAAGUUCGGGGCUUAACCCCGUGAUGGGAUGGAAACUGCCAAUCUAGAGUAUCGGAGAGGAAAGUGGAAUUCCUAGUGUAGCGGUGAAAUGCGUAGAUAUUAGGAAGAACACCAGUGGCGAAGGCGACUUUCUGGACGAAAACUGACGCUGAGGCGCGAAAGCCAGGGGAGCGAACGGGAUUAGAUACCCCGGUAGUCCUGGCCGUAAACGAUGGGUACUAGGUGUAGGAGGUAUCGACCCCUUCUGUGCCGGAGUUAACGCAAUAAGUACCCCGCCUGGGGAGUACGACCGCAAGGUUG
rnacentral:rRNA from 1 species